rnacentral:lncRNA from 1 species
CCUCAUUAAACUUACCCAUAAAAAAAAACUCCGCCUCUUGGAUGAGACUUGGACUCAAGCGAAUCGCACAGUACACUAAUCCGUUAAAUGUGAAAUGGGGUGAUUUGAGUGGUAUGGUUGAUCCGUGCUCAAAGUCCAAUAAAUUUGACAUACCCUAGCUGUCUGAUAGAUACUGGUUCCAAAAGAUAAGCGUCCUGCAAUGCAUCAACAUUUGACAUGUCUUUUGAUUGCUGGCAUAACCAGGAACCCCGUCCACAUGGAAGGUAGUGGGAGAGGGUAUGGAGAAGGUGACUUUGAAUGACUGAUCGGUGAAAAUCAAUAUAGAAUUGGGUCGGUUUGCUGUGGACUGUUUUUCA